rnacentral:rRNA from 1 species
AUUGAACGCUGGCGGCAGGCCUAACACAUGCAAGUCGAGCGGAGCGGCGGACGGGUGCGUAAUGCCUAGGAAUCUGAACGGUACUGGGGGAUAACGUUCGGAAACGGGCGCUAAUACCGCAUACUAUCAGAUGAGCCUAGGUCGGAUUAGCUAGAUGGUGGGGUAAAGGCCUACCAGGGCGACGAUCCGUAACUGGUCUGAGAGGAUGAGCAGUCACACUGGAACUGUGACACGGUCCAGACUCCUACGGGAGGCAGCAGUGGUGAAUAUUGGACAAUGGGCGAAAGCCUGAUCCAGCCAUGCCGCGUGUGUGAAGAAGGUCUUCGGAUUGUAAAGCACUUUAAGUAGGGAGGCGUUACCAACAGAAUAAGCACCGGCUAACUUCGUGCCAGCAGCCGCGGUAAGAC